CAGUCGCCGCGGUAAUACGGAGGAUCCAAGCGUUAUCCGGAAUCAUUGGGUUUAAAGGGUCCGUAGGCGGUCUUGUAAGUCAGUGGUGAAAGCCCAUCGCUCAACGGUGGAACGGCCAUUGAUACUGCAUGACUUGAAUUAUUGGGAAGUAACUAGAAUAUGUAGUGUAGCGGUGAAAUGCUUAGAGAUUACAUGGAAUACCAAUUGCGAAGGCAGGUUACUACCAAUUGAUUGACGCUGAUGGACGAAAGCGUGGGUAGCGAACAGGAUUAGAUACCCCUGUAGUCCCUGUCUCUUAUAC
rnacentral:rRNA from 1 species